AACACAUAUUUAUCCUGCAAUUGGGUGUCCUACUAUACAGAUACAGCCCUACAGAUAUCGCUAUGCUGUAUCUGUAUACUAUACAGAUAUCACUUUAAAGCUCCGCCCACUGCCGGACUGAGUAUUGUUUGAACCUGUGUGACCUCAGAAUGUGUAUUCCAGUUGCAUUCCAAUGACGAUGACAAAUGUCGAUUUCAAACUUGAAUGUGUAUGAUUGUGUUACAAAAUCAACCAUCUCAAUUUCAGCAUGCAUGUUUAGUGAAUGUCAAGUCUGAAGCGUAGGACAACU
rnacentral:lncRNA from 1 species